rnacentral:rRNA from 2 species
ACGCUGGCGGCGUGCCUAAUACAUGCAAGUCGAACGAACUCUGGUAUUGAUUGGUGCUUGCAUCAUGAUUUACAUUUGAGUGAGUGGCGAACUGGUGAGUAACACGUGGGAAACCUGCCCAGAAGCGGGGGAUAACACCUGGAAACAGAUGCUAAUACCGCAUAACAACUUGGACCGCAUGGUCCGAGUUUGAAAGAUGGCUUCGGCUAUCACUUUUGGAUGGUCCCGCGGCGUAUUAGCUAGAUGGUGGGGUAACGGCUCACCAUGGCAAUGAUACGUAGCCGACCUGAGAGGGUAAUCGGCCACAUUGGGACUGAGACACGGCCCAAACUCCUACGGGAGGCAGCAGUAGGGAAUCUUCCACAAUGGACGAAAGUCUGAUGGAGCAACGCCGCGUGAGUGAAGAAGGGUUUCGGCUCGUAAAACUCUGUUGUUAAAGAAGAACAUAUCUGAGAGUAACUGUUCAGGUAUUGACGGUAUUUAACCAGAAAGCCACGGCUAACUACGUGCCAGCAGCCGCGGUAAUACGUAGGUGGCAAGCGUUGUCCGGAUUUAUUGGGCGUAAAGCGAGCGCAGGCGGUUUUUUAAGUCUGAUGUGAAAGCCUUCGGCUCAACCGAAGAAGUGCAUCGGAAACUGGGAAACUUGAGUGCAGAAGAGGACAGUGGAACUCCAUGUGUAGCGGUGAAAUGCGUAGAUAUAUGGAAGAACACCAGUGGCGAAGGCGGCUGUCUGGUCUGUAACUGACGCUGAGGCUCGAAAGUAUGGGUAGCAAACAGGAUUAGAUACCCUGGUAGUCCAUACCGUAAACGAUGAAUGCUAAGUGUUGGAGGGUUUCCGCCCUUCAGUGCUGCAGCUAACGCAUUAAGCAUUCCGCCUGGGGAGUACGGCCGCAAGGCUGAAACUCAAAGGAAUUGACGGGGGCCCGCACAAGCGGUGGAGCAUGUGGUUUAAUUCGAAGCUACGCGAAGAACCUUACCAGGUCUUGACAUACUAUGCAAAUCUAAGAGAUUAGACGUUCCCUUCGGGGACAUGGAUACAGGUGGUGCAUGGUUGUCGUCAGCUCGUGUCGUGAGAUGUUGGGUUAAGUCCCGCAACGAGCGCAACCCUUAUUAUCAGUUGCCAGCAUUAAGUUGGGCACUCUGGUGAGACUGCCGGUGACAAACCGGAGGAAGGUGGGGAUGACGUCAAAUCAUCAUGCCCCUUAUGACCUGGGCUACACACGUGCUACAAUGGAUGGUACAACGAGUUGCGAACUCGCGAGAGUAAGCUAAUCUCUUAAAGCCAUUCUCAGUUCGGAUUGUAGGCUGCAACUCGCCUACAUGAAGUCGGAAUCGCUAGUAAUCGCGGAUCAGCAUGCCGCGGUGAAUACGUUCCCGGGCCUUGUACACACCGCCCGUCACACCAUGAGAGUUUGUAACACCCAAAGUCGGUGGGGUAACCUUUUAGGAACCAGCCGCCUAAGGUGGGACAGAUGAUUAGGGUGAAGUC